GGAAUUACCUGGACGGGGUUUAUGGAUGAUCAAGAAGGCCCGUUGCCUAGGUUGGUGACCUGCAUUCAACUUGGUGCGGGGUGCCCGUAUGAUCUCCCCAGUUGGAAGAGUGUACAUGAAAAUUUGUGGCAACAGCAGCAGGGUACUCGUUUGCGUGGCCCCUAC